AUAAAUCAUCCGUAGAGAGGGGUGAGAAGCCUCGCCAGGGUUUGACAAAACGCAUCGCGUUUUGGACCGCCAAAGGCGGCCCGUAGGGUGAGCGUAGCGAAUCAAGCCCUCUCUCACCGCCA
rnacentral:sRNA from 1 species